UUUGUACACCCUCCAUCCCAAAAUUCUUGUCUUAAAUUUGUCUAAAUACAUAUGUAUCUAGUUACAUUUUAGCGUUAGAUACAUCCGUAUCUAAACAAAUGUAAGACAAGAAUUUUGGGACGAAGGGAAUACUAC
rnacentral:pre_miRNA from 1 species